rnacentral:rRNA from 1 species
AUGGUUGCUGAACAUAACCUAAUAGGAUUAUUCAUUCACAAGAGAAGGCAGAGCGAGUUCAUGAACAACUCAUCGAAAGACAUUACAUGGUUAGUUCGUCAGCAUAUCCAAGAUGGGUGGGAGGAGUACAUAACAGAUGCUCAGAGUUACAAGGAGUUCAAUGAUGUCAGAGGGCAAUGGACACUUGAGAGCAAGGGAUGCCACAAAAUGCUAGGAUGGAGCUUAGAGAGGCCGUUGGAUGAGAGUGUCCUUCUCUGGCAUUUGGCCACGGAUUUCUGCUUCUACUGUACACGCACCUCUCCGGACCAUGCUGAGCGUACCAACCGAUGCAGGCAAAUAUCAAAUUAUAUGGUGCAUUUGUUAUCUGAAAGUCCUGAGAUGCUAUUCCCAGGCAGUCGAAAGCAUCUCUGCCGAGUCGCACAUGCACAACUCAGUGACAUCUUAAAGGGUCAUGUGAUGGAAGAUGAACUUGCUCAGAAAGUGGUUGAUAUCGUGGAGUCUCCACAGGUUUCACAAGGUUGUUUUGUUCGAGAUGCUAGGGUGAUUGCUAAAAGGUUGAUGCGUCUCGGGGAUGAGAACAAGAUGUGGGAGGUGAUACAAGGUGUGUGGAUUGAGAUGCUCUGUUUUUCUGCUGGCAGAUGCCGGGGGUACUUGCAUGCCAAAAGCAUUGGCACCGGCGGGGAGUACCUCUCCAACAUCUGGCUUUUGCUACACUGCACUGGGAUGGAGACGUUCCAGCACAAGCUUCAGAGGACACAAAAGUUUCGAUUGUCCAAGGAGAAGACGCGGCGGUACCGUGGGAGCCGAGAAGAUGCUGCCGCUCCAUCUACUUCUCAAGGCAUGAAUCUUCCCACAAAGGAUGGAAAUUUUGCCGGUCCACUGGCUUCCCUAAGUGAAGGCACCUCUCCUGAUGAGCUCACGUCUUUCCUUGCUCAAACAAGAUGGUCUCGUGUUAGCAUACAGUACAUUAUUCAUAUUGUUGGCCAGGUUUAUAUUAAGAUGUCGCUGACUGGUAUGGAUGAGAUAUUAAAGAUCGAGCACCUAAUCCAUGAUACGACGGGACGCCUCUCCACCGACAACUACUAUAUGGUGUCACAUAUCUCUAGGAGCGUCCUAAUCUCUCUGACCUCCUGCAAGGCAGAGCAGCCAUGCUUCUCUGGAAGGGAGCAUUUGAUACUGGGUCAAUCACCUUGGGCUUCGGCACGCAGUACGCCAUCAAACAUAGGGCUCAUGGACCGCGUCGACCUCGUUAAACACCCAUUGGGCAAAGCUGCAACUAUAGAAGAUCUCGAGGUCAUCCUAUUGAGCAUAGACAUCGACCUUGUCAACCUCCGGUGGUCCCAUUGA